rnacentral:rRNA from 1 species
CAGCCGCCGCGGUAAUACGUAGGGUGCGAGCGUUAAUCGGAAUUACUGGGCGUAAAGCGUGCGCAGGCGGUUCGUUAAGACAGAUGUGAAAUCCCCGGGCUUAACCUGGGAACCGCAUUUGUGACUGGCGAGCUAGAGUAUGGCAGAGGGGGGUAGAAUUCCACGUGUAGCAGUGAAAUGCGUAGAGAUGUGGAGGAAUACCGAUGGCGAAGGCAGCCCCCUGGGCCAAUACUGACGCUCAUGCACGAAAGCGUGGGGAGCAAACAGGAUUAGAUACCCCGGUAGUCCCUGUCUCUUAUAC